ensembl:lncRNA
UGAAUCUGAUGGCUGUCAUGCCAGGGAGAUCAGUCCUAAAUGAGACUCUGACUAUGGAGUGUUAAAGAGAUCAUCUGGCUAAACCUUCUCAUUGGCCAGAAGAGGAAUUGGGGAUAAAAGAAACGAUAAGAAAUUCAAGUCCUAUUUGAGUACAUAAGAACAAAACCAGCAUCGCAGUCAAACGUUUCUUGAAAAAAAACUUGGGGUUUAUUGAUUUCUAAACUGCAAACAGUCGUUACAAAAAGAUUUUUCUUUAAAUAAACUCACACAAAGGAAAAAGAAAUAGAAAGCAUCGGUAGUGAACAGUAACAGGAAAGAAGUAAUUACAUUCAUCUUUGUGUAUGUAUGUAUGUGUGUUUGAGUUCUGUUUACACUAAUAUUGGAAAACUCCAAACCUGGAAUACUGAACCACAAAUCUGUGCUCGGAAUGUCUUGAGUAGCACGUGGGAAGUCCAAUGGUUUUGUUUUUUUGUUGUUGUUUUUCCCUUUUAGAAGCUAUACAAAAAAAAGUUGUUUUCCUUCUUUACUGUAUAUUUUUUACCACAACUUUUACAUACAUUCUAAGUCCUAGCUGUGUAAGGUCUAGAAAGAAAGAAACUCAAUUUGCAGUCCAACACAAGGGGGGAAUUUCUAAAAUAAAUAAUCCAACAGUUUUUUGCAUUUUUUCUUUUUAUAGAUGUCACAUGUAUACUGGGGAACUUUUUAGCACCAAAAUCAAAAGUCUUUCAUGGUCCACCUAGCAUUCCCUUCCUCCCUCCCCACUUUAAAAAAAAAUCUGUUUUAAAAAAAUCAUGAAAGUCCCACUUAUGUCACAAAUCUUUGUCCAUUCUCAGCCUUCCUUCCUGCUGACCUGCAUAGACCUAGGCAAGAUUAGUCAACAAGGGGAAUAGGAGGAUGGGUAGGGAAAGGGUUCAGAUACACUGCCAGCUCUCUAUACACAGCAGAGGCCUGGUGGGAAUUGUCCCAAGGGGAGAGGGAGAGAGAGGAGGGGGAUGGGGAAAAGGGGGGCUGAAAGAGAGAAGGUCCAGUUUCUCCUGGCCAGUGGAGGGAGCUGCUGAUUCCAAUGAUCCUGUUCCACUCCCUAAACCCUCCCUCCCUCCACUCACCCCCUUCUCCCCCAUCAUCUCUGAAGGGCAGAGUUAAGAAGGCCCACUGGUGCCCUCUGCAGCUAGAGAGGUAAUGUAGUCACAGUGGAAAAAAAAAAGCUAAGUUUAAAGGCACUAAGUUGUUUUUGUAAACUGUUAACUGCUUUUUGCUUUUGUGAUUUGGCACUUAAGGCUUAAGCCAGAGAGAAAGGCAACUACCAACCAUUGGGACUUUUGUCUUUUAUGUAAAGUGGGGUAGAAAAUUGAUGGGGAAUUGGGGGAAGGAGGAAGUUCAAGCUAGAGAAGGCUACAGACAAAUGGACUUGUCGUUAUAUUAGGUGGGACAAAAAGGGGCGAGGAGUGGGGGGUAUUCCAAGGCUAGGGGAAAAGGGGUUGAGCUUAAUCUUGUUAAUGUAGAGGUUGUAGGGAAAAAUCGAUGAGGGUAAAGGAAUUUGGGCAAGGGGAGAGGGACUGGGGGAGGGGAAUAGGAAGGGGG